UGCUUGUCCAGUUGAAAAUACCAUUCUGUUAUGUGCCCCGACUCAUGGCUCUAUGGAUAUGACACUUCUAACCAUCAUAAAAAAGGUAAAAUGGAAAUGGAAAACAUCACAUUUAUGAAGCUGAUUUCUAUUAACAACAUUUUGGGCUUAUUGACUGCAACACAAGAAAAUAACUUUUCAAGCUCAAAUACAUGAAUAAAAUGCUGUUGGUCAAUAAAUAUUUGUAAUUCAAAUACACAACUAAUGUAGUACUGAAUUCGUGGGAUUGGAAUGUUGCAAAGUUCAGGUUCUGCAAAACCUGAAAAGGAAUAUGGUUUUCAGAAUAUUGACAAACGUUUAAUAAGGCAUCAGGGUACAUUGUAUCUUUGGUA